CCUACGGGGAGCAGCAGUGAGGAAUAUUGGUCAAUGGGCGCAAGCCUGAACCAGCCAAGUCGCGUGAGGGAUGACGGUCCUAUGGAUUGUAAACCUCUUUUGUCGGGGAGCAAGGCCCGCCACGUGUGGCGGGAAGGAGAGUACCCGAAGAAAAAGCAUCGGCUAACUCCGUGCCAGCAGCCGCGGUAAUACGGAGGAUGCGAGCGUUAUCCGGAUUUAUUGGGUUUAAAGGGUGCGUAGGCGGAAGGUUAAGUCAGCGGUCAAAUGUCGGUGCCCAACACCGGCCUGCCGUUGAAACUGGUCGUCUUGAGUGAGCGAGAAGUAUGCGGAAUGCGUGGUGUAGCGGUGAAAUGCAUAGAUAUCACGCAGAACUCCGAUUGCGAAGGCAGCAUACCGGCGCUCAACUGACGCUGAGGCACGAAAGCGUGGGGAUCGAACAGGAUUAGAUACCCCUGUAGUC
rnacentral:rRNA from 1 species